CCCUACGGGGUGCAGCAGGCGCGGAAACUUCACACUGCGGGAAACCGUGAUGAGGGAACUCCAAGUGUUUGCACUAUGUGCAAUCUUUUCUUGACUUUUAAUAGGUCUUGGUAAUAAGGGGUGGGAAAGACCGGUGCCAGCCGCCGCGGUAAUACCGGCACCCCAAGUGGUCGUCGCUUUUAUUGGGCCUAAAACGUCCGUAGCCUGUUUGGUAAACCCGUGGGUAAAUCAACAUGCUCAACAUGUUGACUUCUGCGGAGACUGCCAGACUAGGGACCGGGAGAGGUGUGGGGUACUCAUGGGGUAGGGGUAAAAUCCUGUCAUCCCAUGAGGACCACCUGUUGCGAAGGCGCCACACUGGAACGGAUCCGACGGUCAGGGACGAAGCCUAGGGGCACGAACCGGAUUAGAUACCCGGGUAGUCCUAGGUGUAAACGCUGUGGACUUGGUGUUGGGGAUCCGACAUGGGUCUCCAGUGCCGCAGCGAAGGUGUUAAGUCCACUGCCUGGGGAGUACGGUCGCAAGGCUGAAACUUAAAGGAAUUGGCGGGGGAGCACUGCAACGGGAGGAGCGUGCGGUUUAAUUGGACUCAACGCCGGGA
rnacentral:rRNA from 1 species